UACAGAGGUCCCGAGGGUUGUUCGGAUUCAUUGGGCGUAAAGGGUGCGUAGGCGGCGGGGCAAGUCUGAUGUGAAAUCCCGGGGCUCAACCCCGGAACUGCAUUGGAUACUGCCUUGCUUGAGUACUGGAGAGGGAACUGGAAUUUACGGUGUAGCAGUGAAAUGCGUAGAUAUCGUAAGGAAGGCCAGUGGCGAAGGCGAGUUCCUGGACAGUUACUGACGCUGAGGCACGAAGGCCAGGGGAGCAAACGGG
rnacentral:rRNA from 1 species